rnacentral:misc_RNA from 1 species
UUCCUGAUUUUCCCAUCGUUCGGGGCAUUCUGGGGCUGUUUUGGCUAUUGGUUGCUUGUUUGGUCUUGAGCUGAACGGGUGGCUUCUAGUCCGGUGGCUUCGGGGAUGUUUUCCGUAAAGGUGGAUGAGUGGUGUACCUUCCUGACGACCCUUCCUGAUUUUCCCAUCGUUCGGGGCAUUCUGGGGCUGUUUUGGCUAUUGGUUGCUUGUUUGGUCUUGAGCUGAACGGGUGGCUUCUAGUCCGGUGGCUUCGGGGAUGUUUUCCGUAAAGGUGGAUGAGUGGUGUUUGGUUUGUUACGUGUGGUUGGCUGCGGCGUUUGCAACAACUUCCAUGCUUUCAGACCUCUUCAGUUUUGCGGCAAGGCUUGUAUCGCCUUGAGCGUAAUGCGGGUUUUCUGUGCUGGCUACCUAAUCAACGGUAUCGGUUGGAUUGAUCAAAGUUUGAUUUCGUCUUCCGUCGCAUUCGCGGCGUGAGGCGAACCUCGAUGCGGUCUCUUUGAUCCACCUCGUUGAAGCACGUGCUUCGACGUUGUGGCACAUUGAGCAUUGCUUGGUCUCUUGUAUACGGAACAUAUAGUGGGCAUGGAUCUAACGAUCCUCGUUUGCCCUCAUAUAAGNGUAACGCUUCUCUAACACGACUUGCGCCAUGUUUNAG